rnacentral:lncRNA from 1 species
UUGACAGCAAUAAUGAUACCUUAAUUUGAGAUGAAUAUUGAUUGGGAAUUGAUGUGAUGCACAUCAAACUCAAAUUAAACCCACAGCUACAAUGAAGUUGCACAGUGACCUAGAAAAGCCAAGAGCUGGAGCUGCUGUUGGAGAAUGGAGAUGGCUAUGGAUGAAUGACUACAUACAUACACAUUGAACCAUCCAUAGGGCAUAACCAACCCACCCUCGUGAAUUGAAUCAUUCCUGAUUCCUAUAAGCCUGUUAUGGUGAAUGCUGAAUGAAGAAACAGAGGUCACCCAUUAUUAAUUAAUGAAAUAUGAUCAGGGUUUUCAACAGGUAUCAUCAGCUUCUACUUUUUCUCCACUAACAUUGAACUGGGCUCUCUGGAGCUAACCCCUCUGGUCUGUCAUUCUUUGUUAAAAGGGGUGGAAGGAUAUGCCCACUGAUAGAUAAUCAUCCCUUUAAACAAGGGUUUAAUCAGUUAAAAAAAAAUUGCAGAUUAAACAGAUAGAGAGGUUGAUAUUACAAACAUGUUUCAGUUCUCAAAGGGAGAGCUGAAAGGGAGAGAGAGAGGUUUAAUCAGUUAAAGAAAAAAACUGCAGAUUAAACAGAUAGAGAGGUUGAUAUUACAAACAUGUUUCAGUUCUCAAAGGGAGAGAGAGAGCCGGGAAAAGGAAAGGGAGAAACAAAGAGAAUCAACUCUGAUGUACAUAGAGAAGUGAACAAUGAAAUAAACGAGAGGGGAUCAAGCAGCAGGGGCCCUAAUGAAGCGGAGAGAGGAGGGGGAAGCGAAGGGGAGACUGCGGAGGAUAAGAAAACGAAUU